GCAAAUAUCAACGAUCCGCGCAAACUACAUUUAACCAAUAAAAAUCACCCACGUGGAUCCUUCAAAACUAAAUCUCAGCCGUUCUUUCUACAUUUAAAUCAACGGUCCAAAAUCACGAUCCGCGUCAAUCCAAAGCAGCCAAUCAAAACUCAAACCUCAAAACAACAAACUCUAUAAAUUCUCCGCCUUUUCUUCUUCUUCCCUCCAUCAACAAACUCAAUUUUCUCAAUUCAAAUCUCUUUUUCACUCACAACCCAUUUUCAGAUUCUCAAUUUCAGUUCCAAUGGCACCAAAAGCAGAGAAAAAGCCAGCAGAGAAGAAGCCAGCUGAGGAGAAAAAGGCUGAAAAAACCCCAAAAGCAGGGAAGAAGUUACCAAAAGAAUCAGGUUCUUCUGGUGCUGAUAAGAAGAAGAAGAAAUCUAAGAAGAGUAUUGAAACCUACAAGAUCUAUAUCUUCAAGGUUCUGAAACAAGUUCACCCAGAUAUUGGUAUCUCAAGCAAAUCUAUGGGGAUUAUGAACAGUUUCAUCAAUGAUAUAUUUGAGAAACUUGCUCAGGAGUCAUCAAGAUUGGCUAGGAUUAACAAGAAGCCUACAAUUACUUCAAGGGAAAUUCAGACUGCUGUUAGGCUUGUUUUGCCUGGUGAGUUGGCUAAACAUGCUGUUUCUGAAGGA
rnacentral:misc_RNA from 1 species